AGAAUCAACGCUGGCGGCGUGCCUAACACAUGCAAGUCGAACGAGAAAGGGGAGCAAUCCCUGAGUACAGUGGCGACCGGGUGAGUAACACGUGACUAACCUACCCUCGAGUGUGGAAUAACAUCGGGAAACCGAUGCUAAUACCGCACAACAUCGCAAGAUCAAAGGAGUAAUCCGCUUGAGGAGGGGGUCGCGGCUGAUUAGCUAGUUGGCGGGGUAAUGGCCCACCAAGGCGAAGAUCGGUAUCCGGCCUGAGAGGGCGUCGACGGAACGACACUGGAACGUGAAACACGGUCCAGACUCCUACGGGAGGCAGCAGUGGGAAUUUUGCGCAAUGGGGGAAACCCUGACGCAGCAACGCCGCGUGGAGGAUGAAGCCCCUUGGGGCGUAAACUCCUUUCGACCAAGACGAUUAUGACGGUACUGGUGGAAGAAGCACCGGCUAACUCUGUGCCAGCAGCCGC
rnacentral:rRNA from 1 species